GCCCAAACCUGACUCUGCAGCUGGGAGAGGAGCCCCAGCACCAGGAUUCGCAGGUGUUCCAGUCAGUACUCAGGACAGGACACAGACAACUCACAAUGGAGUUUGUGCUUGGCUGGGUUUUCCUUGUUGCUCUUUUAAAAGGUAUCCAGUGUGAGGUGCAGCUGGUGGAGUCUGGGGGAGACCUGGUGAAGCCUGAGGGGUCCCUGAGACUCUCCUGUGCAGCCUCUGGAUUUACCUUCAGCAGCUACUACAUGAUCUGUGUCCGCCAGGCUCCAGGGAAGGGGCUGCAGUGGGUCGCAGUUAUUAACUAUGAUGGAAGUUUCACAAGCUACGCAGACUCUGUGAAGGGCCGAUUCACCAUCUCCAGAGACAACGGCAAGA